UUUUCCAGUUCUAAAUUUAUAAUCUUGUGGUGUAGGAUUCAAAUUUCAGGCAAAGCACAUAUUUUCAAAUGGACAGAAGCAUAUGAAGGUGUUUCUGAAGGAAAAACUGUAAGCCAUUGGAGGAAAAAAAAAAUCACCUGCUAUUGAGAGGAUGUUGUGUGUUUGGAUUGGGAUAUAAGAGAAGAGAAAAAGUAUGAAAAAAACAACUCUUUGCUUAGCAAAUAUUCUGCUGGAAGUCAUGAAGAAAGAAGGCCACGGAGGACUAGCCAGAGGGUGAGGGGAAAAGCCCCUAUACCUCUGGAAGAGCCAUCCUAAAAUUGACAUAAAGUCCUAAAGUCUACAAAUGCAAACAGAA